UGGAAUGGGCCAUGAGUUUGCCAGGGAGCUGCUCGGGCAGGACCCUGUGCUGGGAGGUGGGAACUGGGUUUCGGAAGCGGCUUUUCUUCUUGUGUUUCCCACUGUUUCCUUCCCCUCUGAUCUGAGACGGACUGUGCUCACCUGUCAUGAAGCUCUCCUUUCCCCUUAUCAGAAUUCUACAAUUGAAGCUUCCUUGUGGCUUGUUUUUUGGCUAUUGCCUUCCUUCAGUUCUGAAGCUCUCAGUUUAGAGUAGCUCAUCUCCCUAGGGCACGGCCCUUCUCUGUUUCUGGGAAGGCUCACCUUGGUCACCUGUACCUUAUGAAGCACAGCCACUGGGCUGCCUUAAAGCUUAGGCGAUUCAGACUUCUGGGACAUCUCAAGCUAGACAUGGGCUGAGUCUCCCCAAACUUGGGAAUCUGUCAGAUUCUCCUGGUUCUAAGUAUGUCAUGCAAUUUCAGAUCACAUCCCAGGCAUAGUGAAUCCUAUGCCCAAGGUGCUGAGUCCUGUUUAUGUCAGUGGUUUUCAGCCAGGGGUGACUUUGCCCCAAGAGGGCUUUGGAAGUGACCAGAGCAGUUCUGAUUGUCCCAGCUGUGGGUUGCUGCUGGCAUCUAGUGGAUAGAGACCUGGGAUGCUGCAAAAACAUCCUGCAUUUCACAGGACAGUCUCUCCCACCAGGGACAGUCCAGCUGAGGUGUCGACCAUGCACGAGCUGAGAACCUGGACUCCGAUUCUCUGGGGCCAUCAGGUAUGACCACAGGGGCUGUCUCACCUGCUGGGGAGUGAUUUUAGUGCCAGUUCAGUUUCCAAAUCCUCUAAUUUGUGCCAUGGACUGAAAUUGUGUCCCCAUAAUUGCAUGCUGCAGCCCUGGACAGGUGUGAUGGUGACUGAGGUGAUCAGGGCCGGAUGAGGCCGUGAGGGUGGGGCUACCAUGAGGGGAUCAGUGCCCCUAUGAGAAGAGAGACCAGAGGACAGGGGCCUUCUGAGGACACAGGGAGAAGGUAUCCAUCUGUGAUCCAGGAAGAGGGCCCUCCCCAGAGCUGGACACGUGCGGGCACCCUGGUCUUGGACUUCCAGCCCCAACCUGUGGAACGCUGUUCUGGCAGCGCCACUGGCUCACAGUGUGAGCCUGCUCCAGUGUGACCUGGCAGGUCGCUCCUCACUGUUAGGGGACCUUCUCUCCCACUGCCUCCCCGGGCACUCCCCAGUGCUCUCCACAUCACAGGACACCAGUGCCCCCGGCCUUUGUUAGAAAGCUCUGGUUUCCCUUCCUUGGAUUUGUUCCCAGGGGCUGUCUUGCAGUUCCCUAAGGGACGUUUCAGGGUUGGUGGGAAGACGAAAGCGAGCACCAGUGGACUCCCUCCAGUGCUUCUGGAGAGCAGAGGCCCCUUUUCUCCGUCCUUCCAGCCAGAGAGGUGACUUCGGCACCCUGCAUGACUGGGCAGGCCAGAGCAGGGCAAGGGGUGGGAGGAGGAAAAGAGGGCCUGCCCGUGGCCAUUGCUCUCGGACCUGCGAGACCCGCCUCCAGCGUCUGGCCCAGAGAGGGCGUUCUCCCCGAGUGGUUCUGUCCUGCUGAGGGCGCAGCUCUGAGACUCCAACUGCCUCGGGGACAAAGAUGAGGACAGAGAAGGCAAACCAAGGAGCUCCCCGCUGCACUGGCCCCUGGUCAGGGCGACUUCCUGUCCAGUUGGCCCGCCCAGCUGCCCCCUGGAGUCCUCAGAUGACAGCCCUGAAUUCUGCCGGUUGUUGGUGUGGUCAGCGUGCGAGAGCUCUGUGGGCCUGCUCACCUGGCUGGCUCCACAGCCCUGUGUUUCCCGUUCAGGGAGGAUAGGAAGGAAGCAGGUGCAGUGUUCUGGGCUGGAGGCUCCUGGCUGUCCUGCCUAUUCUGUUGCCGAGUCUCCUCCGCCGUCAGUCCUGGCCAGGAGAUCAGGUUCUGGCCAACAGCGAGGGCGGCAGUGAGUGCUGCGUGCCCAGUCCUUGCCUAUCAUGGGCCCUUCAUGCUGUUGGCCUGUGCCCAAGGGCCAGCUGGAUGCAGAGGUCAGCAAAGGGCUCCAUGGAUGCUCUGGCAGUCCCACAGGUUGGAGAUGCCUGUGGUCCCUGGGUCACUGCAAGGAGGUGACAUGUCCAACUGGGAUCUGAGCAGCAGGUAGGUUUCAGUGGGCAAAGCCACUUGUUUCAGAGUUUGUUACCCCAACGAAUGCACCUCUAGAGGACAAUUUGAAUCCUCCCUGACUUGACCACCGUGUAAAAUGCUAGACUUGUGAUGAGGGACUUUUACCUCUUCUCUGGUUAACUCCUAUCAAAUGGAUCUAUUUGUCUGACCCACUAAUAUUACUUUUUUUCUGCCCUCGGCAAUGUUGAACGAUAAAUUGAAGCAAUCUUUGGAAGAUUCAGACUCUUUGGAGGAAAGACAGUAUGUACAGACAAGGGGCAAUUAUCAUAAUUCUGGGCACCGCUCUGCCAGAUGCAUGGGGAGAGAAACUAUUAGUCAUCCCUUAACUCUGACAGAGGUACCGUUUCUUCAGGUGAGAUCUGCAAUAAUUAAAAAGCACACGGCUUCUGCCUCCCCACCUCAGCCUGCCUUCCACGAUCGCGGUGCCCUUGAGCAGCAUCUUCUGCAGGCACGGUGGCCUCUGAGGCUGGAGGGUUGGUAGGGCUGCCUGGGGAGAGCUAGCUCCUGGCAGAUUUCAUGGUGUGGUGCCGGGGACAGCGCCCGCCAUCCAGGUCACUGCUAGAUGCAGUUUAAUUAAGCAAGGAGGGUACUGUGGGGGCCGCUCUGCCCUGUUUGAUUUGUGUGGUGGUUGACACGUUUGGGAGCGCCAUCAGAAACCAGCUGGUGUAAAUGGAGAGAGUCACUCACCUGAGUGAUUAAAUUAGCUCAGCGGAAAUGCAGUGAGCUUUAUUAAAGGCGCCCUGGGAAGCAGCUGCCUUCAGCCCAGUUGUGGGGAGGAGGGGGACAGCCUGACGAAGGUCAGUGCUCUGGGUGGUUCCCAGUCCCAGCUGGUGGCCAGGUCCUGGGAGCUCCUGCUUACCUGUCCCCACUCUAGCCAGUCCUGUCAGAUUCUCCCAGGGAGGUGUGGAAAUCUGCUCCCUCCUUUAAACAAUGCUUUUACUUUGUAACUUUAGGUUUCACUUUUCUUUUUGGUACUGGGAAUUGAACCCAGGGGAAUUGACCACCGAACCACAUCCUCAGUCCUUUUUAAUACUGUAUUUAAAUAUAAAAAUAAACUCAGGGUCUCACAGAGUGCUUAGGGCCUCACUAAGUUGCUGAGGCUAGCUUUGAACUCACGAUCCUCCUGCCUCAGCCUUCAGAACAGACGUGCAGGUCCUGUUUGUACCUGUGCUGGGCUGGGUCGGCCUGCACCAUGAUGCCCUAUAUGUACCGUCUCAUGGUUAAGGAGCAGAACAUCUCUGCCGCCCAGUGCACCGGGACGUGGCCUGUGUAUGCGAGGGCUCUCUGCAGGGUGGACCGUCCGCCUUCUGGUGGAAGUGGCCUGAAGGACUUGCAUUUUAAAUAAAGAAGUGGUGAGGAAGCUGUGACGGGUGUGGAGACACUGGAGAGGUCCAGUCAGCGGGUGGCUCGGGUGACGGGGCGUGACAGCGUGGCUGUUGCUCUCUGCUGGAGCGCUUCUGUCAUGGGACCCAGCACAUCUGUCAUGAAGGCUUGAAGCUUUCGGAGUCUGUCGAGGUGUCUGCUCUGUGGGACUGUAGCUGUGCUCCUUUUGCUGAGUUCUGUUGAAGAGUGUGGCCGCUGGUAGGAGUAUCUUGGGGCACUGGGGACAUGCUCUGGAGACUCUAGGACUUCAUGCCCAACUGCCUCCCACUGAGAGGGUGUCAGGACCCGUGUGGGAGCUCAACUCCUGAUGCCACCCUCCGUGGCUCCUCUCAGCCCCUGUUGAUUUGUGCCAAUAAGGUUCAGGUUCAGUUCACGCUGGAGUAAGGUGUGGCAUGUGGGCGCCUGCCCUGGGUGCUCCUGAAAGUCUGCAGAGGCUGGGUGCCCGCUGGGGGCAUUAGCCUGGCACUCCAGUGUGGUCAGCGUGCUGUUAGCAUGGUGAAUGGCGUCGGCCUGACAUUAGUGUCUUGUUGGCAUGGUGUGUGAUAUUAACAUGGCAUUGGAUGGAUUGUAUGGUGUAUGGUGUUAGUGUGACUUUAUUGUGGCAUAAGCGUGGCAUCAACCUGGUGUCAUUGUGGCGUUGGUGUCUGUGUGGUGCGUGGUGUUAGUGUGACGGGCCCAGGGGUCCGGUGUGCACAGUGGCCUGGCUUGCAGUUGGUGACGGGAGACAGCACUGGACCGUAGGUGGGUUUCGAUGGGGAGCUGGAGGGCGAGCAGGCACAGACCAGUCUCUGGGCCGUGACUCUCUUGUGUGUGAAAUGAUCACGUCAGAACCACGACUUGCUUAUUCAUGUUCGCACACAUAGUGAGGGUCAGAGGAGGUGGUUCCUGGCUAAUGACCUACCAGAGCAGGCCAGCGAGUGAGCUCAGCAGAAGGUCCCAGGACCACAGCUGUCAGGCAGCAAUGCUCUGUGGGAUGGCCGCACUGGAAGAAGGAGGAGAGCCUGGGGCACCCAGAGGGGCGCUGUCUCCUGGACGCCAGGACUGAGCUCACUCAGCAAAGCAGUCUUCAGAGUAAAGGUUCCACCUGAGAUUUGGCAUCCUCAGGGGAACAAGCUGGAGAGCGACACAGACACACGCACGUCCACCAUCUGGUGGGUCAGGGGAGAGGGUCCUCCUGGCUCAGGAGGUGAUGGUGCAGGUGGGGAGGAGAGGUGUAACCAGAGGGGUUUGAGGGCAGCAGCCAGGGCCCUGCAGGGAAGGUGGCCCUGUCCUCAGAGCAGGCUUGUGGGCACACACAAAGGCUGAGUUCAAGGUCACACAAUCAUUCCAGCAUGGAAGAGGCCAGCGGUGCCGAGUCCAACUGGCUUCCAGGAGGAAAAGGAUGAAAUUUUCAGAAAGAUUUUAAUAAAACUUAGACGAGGCUCAUUGACAGGGCAACCUGCGGCACCUGUGGCUCUGUGGCCAUCAGUGAGGUGGAGACUCAUUCCGGAGGCGGGCUGUGAAUUUCAUAAAGCCCCUUCCUGCAGCCUUGCUCUGCCGUCUCCCUGGAGCCCAGGGAAGUGCACAGAGGGCACCUUCAAGGUUGCCGGCUGUUGUCUUAAUGGAACAGAGGAACACGCAGUUAGUCUUUAAAAAUGUAAGAGGAGGAAAUAAACCUGGAAAAGCCCUGUUCCCCUCACGCUGGUCAAGCAGGAGGCUGCAACUAGUGGGAGGCCAGAGCAUCGGGUAACCCUUGUUCCACAACACUCUGCUGAUGGUGGAGGAGCCCUGGCCCCCUCGAACUCAGGAGUCCCCUCAAACAGUGUUCCCAGGACUCUCCAGUCCCCUCGAGUGGGGCAGGACCCUCGCUCGUCCCACCGUCAGCCCUCAUCAUCAUCUCCCAGCAUCCUGAAUCCUAUACCACAAGCCCACCCUCGAUCCCAGGAAAGGGUGUGCACAGGCAGAUGUGUCCCAUGUCGCUGUCACUCAGGUGUGGCCCUGGACCUGCGGCAAGGCCUUGGCACCACCCAGACCUGCAGAAUCAUCAUCUGCUUUACCAUGGUCCCAGAAUUGAUCACACAUGGUGGAUCCUGGCCCUCUGCCGCCCUCGCUGCCCCCACAGCCACCUCCUAUGCACAUGCCUGUGCUGAGUGCCCCAGGCCCUGGAGGCCAAGCUGCCUGUGACACUGGGGCAGCAGGGAGCACCGUGGGGCGCUCACUCUGGAAAUGAACACAAGGGGGCAUUCACCUCAGAACACCCACCCACCGACUCAUCCAUCCAUCUGUCCAUCCAUCCAUCCGUCGGUCCCUCCAGCAGAUCCUGCCGGUGCUCUGUGCUGGUCUUGGGGUGGGAGGAGCCAGGGCAGGCAGACUCACAGCCGGGCUCUGGGAAGGCCUCUGUGGUGCGAAGGGCCUGGAUCGCGUCACCGGCUGGUGGCACACACCUCUGCAAGCUGAGGUGUGGUGGGUGGCCCUGCUGACCUUCCUGAUGCGUUUCCUGAGGACAGGUGGCAUUGUCAGAGCAGCUAGGCCAUUCUGUCUCGGAAAGGACUGGGCACUCCUUUCCUUGCUGGACUUGGGGCCUCUGGGCUCCAGGCCCUGAGGCACCUCUGGGAGAGCCCGGUUGUGCCUUAGCUGGGCAGGAGGCGGGGCUCCACGUGAGCUGGGUCUCCGAGGUCCCAGUCCUGCUAUUCUGCGGCUCUGUGGCCUCCUCGCCCAGCUAAGGUGUGACCCUGCCACCACAGUCCUGAGGCCCUCAGUGUCCUCUAGCCACCCCCCGUCCCAUGGCACCAGAGACACAGUGGCACCUGGAGCUCGGCCAGUGGGGAGGAGGCUGCACGGCAGCCAGCUGGCCACCCUGAGCUCUGGUCUUCGCAGAGCAGCAAGACGAUUCUUAUUCUGAGGACAUCUUUCACAAUAAGUCCAAGUCAGGCGCUGAGAGAUUGAAGUCCCUGGGAACGAGGUUAUGGGGCAACGUGACAGACCUGAGGGAAGUAAAUCACCAGCACCGAUGACAUUUUUCCAGAUGGAAACAGAACGGAAGGUCUAAUCAGGAAGAGGAAUGAGGGUCUAACUCAGCAAGGUUUACCGAUGGCUGCAGGAAAGCUGCUGACGUGACCCUCCUCUCCAAGGACAGAGGUCAGGGGCCGGGGGUCGAGAGCAGGGGCGAUCGAUGAGCAUCCUCGAGGCCGGCAGGCAGUAGGCGGUCGGCAGUCUGCGGUGUUGGGGCUUCCUGGGUGUUCAUUUAUUCAUGCAGGCUGUGUCUCACUACGCUGGACUUGGCUCACAGGAAGCACAUCGCAUAAAGAAUAUAAAUAAAUGAUAAAGUGCUGGAUCUUUAAGGUGGACUCAGAGGUCAGAGGGGAGGUGUGGGAAGACCUUCCCUCAUCUCCUGCAUCGCGCAGUGAUCGAGCCAGACAAGCCCAGAGUGUCCGUGCAGCUCUGCCCAGUGCUCAGGGACUUCUGGGAUUGCGUCCCGAGAGGGCAGAGUCAGUCCUACCCGGAGAGGGAGCACAGAGAAGGCCACACCACUGCCCAGCUACACAGGCCCAGGAGCUUAGGACACUGCGAAGACCUGCCAAGAGCAGAGGGCCACACCACAGGACAGGCGGAGCCUCCCACACAGGCCGCCGGCUCCGUCGUCCUCGCUUUUGCACUCAGGGAGCGUGGCUUGGAUUCCAGUCAGGCAACCGUGCACACAGCUCCACCCAACAGAGGCUGUGCUUUUUGACUGGAACCAUGAACCAAGCUCCUGACCAACGCAGCCCACCGGCCCUCCGAGCCAGAAGGUGAGCAUGCGUGGCUUUCCCCUUGCCCAGCGAGGCUGAUUUGUGGCUGCCGCUGAUGAGUCACUCUUUGGACGGGGCAGGUUCAUGCGGUUAUGUCGCAUCAGGAAAAAGGGGUGAUGAACCUGGACCAUUAGCUCUGAGUUAAUGGUGUGAUAAUGGUUCCAUAUUUCUUCCUCCCGAUGGGCUGCGGGGAAGUUGGUGCUCAGCAGCAGGUCAUCAGCCAGGCAGAACCAGGGUAAAAACCUGGAGUGUCUCUCCAGCCUCAAGGAAAUCCUAAGUAUGUGUGUGCAUAUGUUUACUGCUGGUGUGUAUUUGUGCGUGCACAUGUGCAUGCUCUGUGAGCUGGCAUGUGCAAAUACAGACGUCCAUGCACAAAAAUGGUAUGUGAACACAUGUGUACCUGUGUGAGGCUGUGCACACAGCCAUAUUUCUUGUGCUCCAUUCAUGUGUGCUGGUGUAUGUAUGCACAUAUGUGCAUGUUCCAUGUGCAUGUAAGCUUGCACACACACAAACACUGCCUAUGCACACCCAGGAGUGGGAGAACCACGCCUCCGGGGCACGGGAAGGGAGGGCUGGAGAUAGCACCAGCGUCAGCAGACAGUACAGCCUGUGUGAGCGGGGCUGACUUCUGAAGGACCGGCGUCCACCUUCCUUCCUUUCGUCCCUCCCACAGUGACAGGCUGUGGGGAUGUGUGACCUGCCUGCCGGACUCCCGGCUUCCUGAGGCAGGCACACAUUGGUGGCGACCAGAGGGGCUCCUUCCAGUCCAGGCUGGGUGUCAGCUGGACGGGCCUCACUUUCCUCAGAGCGCUGUGCAGCGACUCCCACCAAGUACGCCGUCCUCCCACCACCUACCCUGCGGCCUUCAGGGAGCACCCGGGCUCUGGCUGCCUCCUCCUCAGGCCAUCAGGGCCAUCUGUGGGAGGCAGGUACCUCCUGAGAGGGAGGGCAGUGCAGGUGUGAAGGGAGUCCCUGGAGUCCAGGGGGGAGGGCUGCACCCGAGGGCUCCUGGCCUUUGCCUGGAAACGCCUCCUCCAUGUGCUGACUUGUCCUCUGGGUUGAAGGCCUGUGGGCUUGAGGGCAGCGUGGGGACAGUGGAGGGCCCAGGCUGCACCACCCCAGGCCGAGGGUCCCAGAGCUGAGGUGGAGACCGGAAACCUGCUGGCCCAGCUGUGGAGCAGGAGGUGUGGCUUGUGUUCAGCCAGUGGCGCUGGGGCCGCCAGGCCAGCCCACUUCAAGCUGUCAGUGGCUCUGCUCCGCCCGUGGUGGAAGGCUCCAGGAAAGUGGGAGCAGCCAGCCCCAGGACCUUGGCCCCCCAUCCCCUGCGCCCAGGCUGCUGAGCCCAGGGUCCCUGGAGGCGCCUGCUCUUCUGUGCCCCCUGCAGGGUGGAGGCAGAAGGGGCUCCCUGCUCCGGGGCUGGGUUCCUGCUCCUGUGAGCAGGUCCUCAGGCCUGGCCUCCUGCUGUGGGAGCUGCGCACCUGAGCAGCGGGCCCCGGCCUCUCUGCUUCACCUGCACGAGCGUUCUGCACACAGCGCCCAGUGCCUUUCCCCUGGUUUCCAAGUCUUCAGGAAGGCCAUCUGAGGAGGAGCAUGCCACCCAGGGUUCUUGCCAACUUGGGACCCUGGCAGGGCAGGCGUGUGACGCGGGAAGGUGGAUUCUUGGAUGCUUAAAGAAAUCUGUGACUCCUCACUGACCUGACCUGCUUCCUCCUGGUUAGUAGAUUACUCAGGUCCUUCUACAGUGUCUUGCAGGAACUGGGAACAAGGACAACAGCAGCUCCAUCAAUAACUGACCCCGGCAGGCAACGCCCCAGGACCUGGGUGACUAAGGCAGGCGACCCGCACCACCGACAUGAUGGGUCGGGCAGCCAGGCAGGGUGCUGAGUGGCCGCUCAGGAGUCGUUUUGCCCGGGUGUCUGGAGAGACAGCGGCAGUCACUGAUGUGGGACAGAGGACAACACGGGUCAGGAUCAGCGGCUUCACCCACAGCUCUCUUCUCUGCUUCUCGGCAAGAUCCGGAGGUGCGCCACACCCGCUGCGGGCCCUCCCCUCCUCAGACACUCGUGUGCACCAGCUCCACUGUGCGCCAGCGCAGUCGCACACGCCUGUAAUCCCAGUGCCUUGGGAGGCUGAGGCCGGAGGAUGGCAAGUUCAGCCACCAGGGCAUGCCCAGCCCCUCCACCCGACAGGAUGGCCACCGUCACAAUCACGGACAGCUGCACGUGCUGGUGGGAGAACUGGAGCCCGUGCGCGGCACCUUCUCCUGUGCUUCUUGGCUGCCGGCCCUAACGCUCACGCAGGCUUCUUUUCCAACAGUUCCGAGAGUGAGGUGCCCUUCACGCCCGGCACGGCUGCCUUCCACCUGCUGUGAGCUGGGCAAGGCUGCCCGCGCCUCCACAGGCCCCUGCUCCACCAACCGCUUCACGGCAGCUGCCGGCAGCGAGCAGAGCUGGCGGGCAGGUGUCACCGUGCGGGACCUCCAGCUGGCCGUGCGUGUUGGUGGGUGGCACGUGGGCACGGGUGGGCCUGGCCGAGCAUAUGUACCCCCGGGCCCUUGCUUGUGUGGAACAGAAGCAGCGAUUUUAUGCGUCUGGUUUUCUCCCCAGGCCUGCGAGGGGGGUGGUCCUCUCUCGGUUUAUACGGUGGAGCCUAAAGCUUGUCCAGAGUCACCCAGCCAUCAGGGCGGGUCCCAGGCCUGAGCAGACCCACUGUCUUCUCCCCGCUGUGAGCCCGGGCGAGCAGCUCAGCACAGGACACGCCUGCCCUCCACCGGCCUCUCUCCCUGCACCUUUAUUGUGGUGCCGUGUGCACGGGGCCUGCUACCGCGUCACUUCAAGUGCAGCCAGGGGCAUCACCUGCAUGUGCCUGUCCCAGGGCCACCACCAUUGCCUUUCCAGACUCUUUCCUCCUGCAAAGCCAAAGCCCUCCCCACUGAGCUCUAACUAGUCCCCCAAGCUCUCUCCCAGAGUUCGGCGGCUCCAGGUUCCCCGCGAGCAGGAGCACACGGCACCUGUCCUUUGUGUCUGGGAGGAUCACUUGGUGCCAUGGCUUCCAGGUGAGCCUCCUUGCGGCAGGUGUCAGGAUUUCAUUUUGGGGGCUGACUAAUGUUCCACUGCCUGUCCAGACCUCCCUUUGUCUGUCCCUGCUUCAGUUGAUAGACACAGGUGGUCACUUUUUGGCUGUUGAAUAGGUCUACUGUGAGCGUGGGUGACUGCCCCCCAAGUCUCGUGCUGACACUCCUUCCUGUUGUGGGAUUCCAAGGGUGCAACCAGGUGGGACCUUUAAGAGGUGACUAGGUCAUGGACACAGUCCUCUGUGGGUUCAUGGAUUGGCAGGUCAGUGGAUUAACAGUCAUCUCUAGGGUGGGUCUUCUCAAAAGUUUGUUUGGCUGAUUCUUGGGCACACCCUGUGGCCAUGGAUGCUGGGGCUGCCUUUGGAUUUACCAGAGUCCCACCGGCGAGGUCCCCUGGACCGUGGACCUCGUGGCCGAGCCUGUGUUCUCAUCCAUUCUGGGCAGUCACAGAGCAGAAGAAGGACCAAGACAGGGCAUCUUCAAGACCCUGUUCCUUUUGGCACAGACCCGGAAGGGGGUUGCUGGUCAUGUUGGUGGGCUGCCGGCUGUUCCUGGGCCACACUGUCCUGCUCCCCCGGCAAUGCCUGCGGGGUCCAGGCACGGCUUUCUUCUCAGAAGAGCACUGGAAAGGGAGAGGGGUGUGUGGGGCUGAGGUUUGGCAUAGGCCGAGAGAGCUCCAGACUCAGGAGGUCUGACGGCCCAGAGCAGGGGAGCGGAGCUCUGUCCCGGUGGACAACCGUGGGCCGAUGUCUUGGAGAGGGCACGGGCACUGGCUGGCCUUGCCCGGCACCCAUCGUCCCUGGUGCUGCUGCUGCGUGGCACCGAGCCUGUCCCUCGGCCUGGCUGGUGUGGGCCCGGCAGCCCGGUCCUCACCACCUGCCUCCCUCCCUGUGGACGCAGCUCUGUUCAGGUGCACAGUGCGAGGGGAACACACGUCUCACUCCCGGGUGCCGAGGCCAUGCUCUGAGGCCCCCGACCCCGUCUCUCCUGGGGCCUCAGACCUCUUCCCCGUGGGAGGGCCAAGCGCUCCCACCACCUCUGGGAGAGGGGGCUGCGUAGAGGGGCAUUGAAGAAAAAGCGAGUCUUGCCGGGUGUGCGGGUGAGGGUGGGUUAGCAGGUUGCUCCCGGAACCAGGCAGCUGCCUGGGACAGGCUCCUCACUACCAGGCUGGGCAAGUCUGACCUGAGACCUGACGUCCGUUUAGAUCUGUCCCUGGGGCUGGGGCUGUGGCUGUUGGUGUACCUGGAGGGCGAGGCGCGGGUCAGCGUGUCCUUUGGUCUGCCGAGCAGGUCCUCCUCCUUUAAAGAGAAAGAAAAAUGGGGCCACAGCAUCAGCUCUGAAUUCCUGAGCCAGGCAGGCGCAAAGCCCUCCGGACCCUGUUACUCACCAGUCUGCUCAUUUAGUUUAGGGUUCAAACAGCUCUGCAGAAUGUACAAAGGCCCAGCGGUCACCAUGAAGGUUCGUAUGUUGUUAUUCUCUCCACAUGAUGUGGGCAUGGUGGGGCCUGUGGCUGAACCUCUCAGCAGAGUGGGAUGGAGCUUGGGGACCAGGCACGUGUGUGGGGCGUGAAUUUGCACUGACUGCUGGAGAGGACAGCAUUUCUUAGAGUCAGGUCAUACUCUCAUGUACUGUUUGCUCUCCAUUUCACCACUUUAACAAAUC